AUAGUGUUUGGAUUGGAGGUUCUAUUUUGGCUUCUUUAAGUACUUUCCAACAGGUGAGUGAAAAUUUAGAAUUUGACAUUAACAUUUACAUCUAUUGUCAUUCAUAUUCUGUGUUUAUAGUUGUUAGAAUUGUCUCAUAUCGGCCGCAGAUACGGCAAUUAGUCUCCUUAUAUGGUCUUGGUUAUAUUCACCUCGUGAAAUAACUUUUGAAAUGAUGAUUAUCCGAAACCAUAUAUGGAGACCAAUUAUCCCAUCUACGCAGCCGAUGGGGAACUAUUUCGUAUUGUAAC
rnacentral:lncRNA from 1 species